UUCCUGGUAGCUCAGCUGUUAAAGAAUCUGCUUGCAAUGCAGAGACCCCAGUUCGAUUUCUGGGUUGGGAAG
rnacentral:tRNA from 1 species